CCUGGCUAUACUCACCCAAGCAGUUGGAGGCCUGGGCUUGAACCUGGUAGCACCAGUGUAAAUCUGCAGCAAGAGAGGAAGACGGCAGGGCCAGGCGAAGCAGCCACCAGCCCUCCAGGAACCCCUCUGAGGCCUCAGCUCUAACAUGCAGCUGGCCUGGACACUCUCCGUCCCUUGGUCAUCAGCCUCCUCCUUCCCCUUCCAUCUCCCAUCCCAAACCUGGAAGGGAGGCUCUGGGGAGAGAGGAAGAGGAGGAUUAGGGCCCAGCCUCCACUCCUAGGACAAUAGAGUCAGGCCCAGCCUGGCAGCUUUCCCAGCUGAUGUGAGUUGCGUGAGGAUAUCGGGCUGGCCCGUCCCCAGAAUGCCCCGCCUCGUGUUAGUAAGCCCUGUUCUUGGCUAAACUUUCACAGCUCCCACAGGCAGGAAAGCAGCCAGGCCUUUCCCCUGCCCCACCACCCCACAGUCCUGGUCUUCGGGGCCAGACAGACUCGGGUUCUAAUCCUGGCUCUGACUCAGGACAGUAGAGCCCAGCGUCUCUGAAAAGAGCUGCACCACAAAUGUGGCACACUAAUGCAAGGUGUCAGCGAUGGCAGACACUGUGUGCAGGGGCAGAGGGGACACAUAGGGACCCUCUGUGCUUUCUGCUCAAUAUUUCCAUAAACAUAAAACUGCUCUAAAAAUAGAGUCCAUUAAUUUUUUUUAAAGGCUGCACCAGCAGGAUGAACAGAGCAUUUCUUCCGGAGCUAGAAUUCUGGCUCAGCCACUCAGGGGGUUUAGGUGGGUUUGGGAGCAAGUCCCUUAAUCUCUCCAAGCCUCAGUUGUAUCAUCUGUAAAAUGGGACUAACAUACCUACCUCAUAGGGCUGUGGGGAGAAUUAAAUGAGGGAUGGUGUAGAGCUUCCUGGCAGUCUGGCACUUAGUAAAAUCCCAUCGGCAAGUCCUUCCCUUCCCCCCCCACCUCCCUCCCUCUGGUGGCCUCCUGUCAGUGAGCAGAUGGCCGAAGCCAAGGAGGGGCAGAGAGAGGAGAGAAGUGAAGUGGGCUGGAAAGAA